UUUAGACCGUCGUGAGACAGGUUAGUUUUACCCUACUGAUGAAUGUCGCCGCAACGGUAAUUCAAUUUAGUACGAGAGGAACCGUUGAUUCAGAUAAUUGGUUUUUGCGGCUGUCUGACCAGGCAGUGCCGCGACGCUACCAUCUGCCGGAUUAUGGCUGAACGCCUCUAAGUCAGAAUCCGUGCCGGAACGCGGCGAUUUUGCCCCGCACGUCGUAGUUGGAUACGAAUAGGCCUCCGGGCCACGCACCUCAGCAGGCUGGCGACGGCGCCCCGGGAGAAACCCUGGGGUGCUGGCUGGCGGAUUGCAAUGUCACCUCGCGCGGGGAUAGAUCCUCUGCAGACGACUGAAGUGACCAAGCGGGUCGUGUACGUGGUCAAGUAGCCUUGUUGCUACGAGUCACUGAGCGUCAGCCCGACCUUGGCUAGAUUUGUUGGUUUUACACCU
rnacentral:rRNA from 1 species